rfam:Ipomoea nil DNA, scaffold: scaffold0268, cultivar: Tokyo-kokei standard.
GACUCCAUGGCCCAAUGGAUAAUGUGCUGGUCUACGAAACCAGAGAUUCUGGGUUUGAUCCCUAGUGGAGUCG